GUGCUCUUGUUUGCAAUCCAUAUGAUUAUCAACAAGCCACCACGUUCCGCUCCGAUCUACGCAGCUCAUGUGACUAACUAAUGGCGCAGGCAUCAUCAAGGGCACCAUGACCACCACCCACUCCUACACCGGCGACCAGAGGCUGCUGGACGCCAGCCACCGCGACCUGCGCCGCGCCCGCGCCGCCGCGCUCAACAUCGUGCCCACCUCCACCGGCGCGGCCAAGGCCGUCGCCCUCGUGCUCCCCAACCUCAAGGGCAAGCUCAACGGGAUCGCGCUCCGGGUGCCCACCCCGAACGUCUCCGUCGUCGACCUCGUCGUGCAGGUCUCCAAGAAGACCCUCGCCGAGGAGGUCAACCAGGCGUUCCGCGACAGCGCCGCCAACGAGCUC
rnacentral:lncRNA from 1 species